rnacentral:rRNA from 1 species
AUUGAACGCUGGCGGCAGGCCUAACACAUGCAAGUCGAACGAGUGGCGGACGGGUGAGUAAUGUCUGGGAAACUGCCUGAUGGAGGGGGAUAACUACUGGAAACGGUAGCUAAUACCGCAUACCAUCGGAUGUGCCCAGAUGGGAUUAGCUAGUAGGUGGGGUAAAGGCUCACCUAGGCGACGAUCCCUAGCUGGUCUGAGAGGAUGCCCAGCCACACGGGAACUAGGAAACGGUCCAGAAUCCGACGGGAGGCAGAAGUGGGGAAUAUUGCACAAGGGGCGCAAGCCUGAUGAAGCCAUGCAGCGUGUAUGAAGAAGGCCUUCGGGUUGUAAAGUACUUUCAGCGGGGAGGCGUUACCCGCAGAAUAAGCACCGGCUAACUCCGUGCCAGCAGCCGCGGGAAUUC